GAAGAAGACGCUGCACGACUACGCGGCGGAGUUCACGGAGCUGGCGGUGAAGCGGCACCUGCUGGAGCGCGGCGCCGCCGGCGAGGCCGCCGUGGUGGAGACGCUCUACUGCACCUCCUGCGAGCUGCCCAUGCGGGUGCGGCGCGACCGCAUCCUCGAGCACCUCUCCUCGGGCCGCCACUACCGCAACCGCCGCCUCGGCCGCCAGCACGGCCUGCGCGCCCCGCUCCUCCUAUCUGCAGGUCCAGACCUUGGCGCUAGCCUCCCCCUCCAGCUCGAUCCUCCUUCCCUGCUUUCUCAGCCUUCCUUUAUCCUCUCGGCCAACCCUUGCAUCACCAGCGCCGGGACCAGCACGAGCUACAGCAUGGUCCCGUCUCCGCCCUCCUGCCCCAAGGCGUUGAUCCCCGUUCCCCCCGGCGCUGUCAGCUCCACGACGAGCGUCGCGUCUGCCAGAGAAGACCAGACGCCCUCUACCUCCACCAGUCGCUCUUCGGCGUUCGCUGCCUUCCAUGUGAGAAGCGCGCCCGCUCCCUCAAAGCAGACUGGCCAAAGGCUCCUUGUUCCUGAGGUCUCCGACAGCGCCGUUCCCGGAGGGGCGGUGGGACGGAGCAGCAGUACUGCUAGCAGUAUCGGCAUCGGCCUCGCCCUCUUUGGCGUAGGGCUCGUUGACAAAGCAUUGUUUCAGAGUUUAAUGGAAGAGAAUAGUUGCUGUUUGCUUUACAUCGUGGAAAAUCAGCUGCAGGAGGUGGAACGUGCCUUCAGCGCGGAAUUUUUGGCCAAUACCAGGGUGCUGCGGCAACAGGAUGCUGACGUUGUGCUCAGUGAUCAACGGGUCUCUGGAGCCAUUAUUUCUUCACCACCUGGAGAAGCUUCUGAGAUUGUAAUAGAUGCUUUACGAGCUGGGAAAGGUGUAUUUUGCGAGAGGCUACCCAGUUUAGACAGGCAGACAGCAGAAGCUUGUUUUGAUGAAGCUGACAGAUGUGGAAGACCAUUGGUUUGUGGAUUCUACAAACUUCUUUGUGAAACUUCUGGCCCCGUGUAUUGUGCUUUUCCUGGAUCAGAGGGUCUUCCAUAAAGCUGAAUGUGAACUUCUCUUGAGUGGAGGUUUUGGUCAACGCUCCCCUGAGUAUGAGUAGAGGUUUUGGUCAACGCUCCCCUGAGUAUGAACCU
rnacentral:lncRNA from 1 species